ACGGAGGGUGCAAGCGUUAUCCGGAAUCACUGGGUUUAAAGGGUGCGUAGGCGGCCAAGUAAGUCAGGGGUGAAAUACUGCGGCUCAACCGUAGAAUGGCCUUUGAUACUGCGUGGCUUGAAUGGAGUUGAGGUCGGCGGAAUGUGGCAUGUAGCGGUGAAAUGCAUAGAUAUGCCAUAGAACACCAAUUGCGAAGGCAGCCGGCUAGACUUCGAUUGACGCUGAGGCACGAAAGCGUGGGGAGCGAACA
rnacentral:rRNA from 1 species